AUGUUUCAUAAGCAUGGUUAUUGGAUAUUCAUACUGUUGUGUAAUGUGCUUCCCUUGAGCCUUGUUACACACUGUCAGCAUAGUACCCAUCUGAUU
rfam:Tupaia chinensis contig68873, whole genome shotgun sequence.